rnacentral:sRNA from 1 species
AAAAAAUAAUGUUUAAUUUCACCGAACGGGAUUAGAUGGUAUGACAGGUUUAGAAUAUUAAAAUAUAUGAACUUU